GUAUCUUGUUGCCAUAUUGAAAUAAGUAUUUUAUAAAUGUUACCAUAUUCCAGUAAAGAUUUAAAGUGUAGGUUACGUAUCUCUAAUUAAACAAGACAUGGUUUCACAGACAGGGCUUAGACUAAACCAGGAUUAGUUCAAUUAGGGCAUUUAAAGUCAAGCAGCUUUCAACCGUGUCACAAACCACGAUGGAGGCAGAGGGUUUGGUGCAAGUGAACAGUUUGUUUACAAGUGCUAAUGUGACAAUGAUAUGAUGACUGGAAAUCCCAGAGCUCUGGAGAGUUGCACAGGGGAAGACAUCAAUGGGAGAUCAGGGGAGAUCGUAUUUAUCUAAGGGCAUAAGAAUGACCAGGUUAGUGAAACCAGCCGGCCACCAGUUCAGGACAGUGAACUGGAGUACUGAGGUGACGGUGUCCUGGUGAGUGAUUACUGGGUGCAGGUGCAGGUGAUCAGUACUCCGGUGAUUGGGAUCGUGCUUGAUGAGAGUCAGGUGUGGGUGAUGAUUGGGGUGGCUGCACUGUAAGAAAUGAUUCUGUGGUCAUGUAGAUUUGAAUUAAUGUUUUUGGUUAAAAUGUAUUCAAUAUAAAUGUGUUUUUGAUUUUGAGGCAAAUAUUUAAUUAAAUGUCAAAUAAAAAUGGUUGGAAUAAAAUCUACCCAUUGUAGUUAACUAAAACUAAAGCAUUAUAUUUACCUUAUCCCAAAUAGAGAGAAUAUUGAGUGAAUUCAAAUUAAUGUAAUGAGGCAAAUUUGAAUUGGAAAGCACUUCCUGUCAAAGUGCGCCUUUUUUUUUUUUGUUUUUUGUUUUUUUUAAUGCAGCAGGCCUACAAGACAUUUGAAGAGAGUAGGCUACAGACAGUGAAUGUUCGUUUUCUUCCACAUUGCUCAUCUUGCAAAAUUUAACUGGUUGACUUGGGUUCCAUAAAGAGCAAUAUUUGGGGUUCUCGCUGGAAGAGCAUCUUAUAUUUCAGACGGCACUUGACGCACCUCCGUUGGCUUUACUUCUCGUGUGUGGGGCUCGUCUUCCCGAGGCAGCUGCUGAAAAUGAGCAGAGCUUGGAGAAAGUGAGGGAAGAGCUGGUCACAGAGUCAAAAAAGAAGAACAACGAAAAUAAAGUCAAAGACCAAAUGAGCAAAUCAUUUGCCCUCAGACGACAUGAAAUCAUCGAUCUGUGUCCAGCUGUUCGAGCCGUGAAGGACCGCUGGCCUGCCCUGUUUGACCCUCCUCAAGUAAGUUGGAUUGUGUAAUUCCUGUUAAGAAACAAUGAAAUUUUGUCAAAUUGACUUCAAGAUGUAAAAAAAUACUCUUACUUUGAUUAAUAAUUUGUCUAACAUGUUUUUUUUCCCACAAAGUUUCAAUAAUGUCAUUAAAAUCCUUAAAAUUACAUCUAACUCUCCCUCAUUUACAAUUCCAGAAUGUUUAAAUAUGCAAAUAUUGUGGAGGGGGACUUCAGUACUCUGACAAAAAGUAUUGAAUGUUAGACAGUUUAUAUGAAAGAGGUUUAAGAGGCUAAGAACUGAUGUGAUACCUUUGUCUCUUUUGUUGCCUUUGUGUUUCAGACCAAUGCAGAACUUCAAAGAACAACUACUGUACUUCUGGAACUGAAACUUUUGUCUGCGUUGGACCGUCACACUCCCAAGCUACUGACGCUAUCUCCUGCCAAUAAUGGAACUGCUGCAGGUACAGUAAUUUUCAAAAUUAGAAGUAGCUUUGUUCCAUAAGAUUUCUAAAUUAUAUGAAUAAGGACAUCAGACUGAAUGAUAGACAGUUGUCCUCCAGAGCUGCUGCCCUAUUUUAGAAAAGGAAAAACUAAUAACAGCUCAUGCCUUUAAGAUGCUGUUUUUUGUUUUACAAAUUGAUCAGAGGCAAGGCAAUUUUAUUUGUUUAGCCCAUUUCACAAACAUUUUGUCUCAAAGUGCUUUACAUAGCAUCAUGACAACAGCCCCUGCCCUUAGACCCUUACAUUGACUGAGGACAAACUCCCAAGAAAACCCUUUUUAAUACCUCCAGUCGCUCACUGUGAAUGCUCCGGAUAAUUCACUGUUGCAUUCACACAUGGGGUAAUUCAGAAACGACACAGACUUUGUACUAUAGAGCUGUCCGGGUUAAAUCCAUUUAAUGUCAGAUUCAAACACAUUCAUCUCCUUCAGGUGAUGUCUUUAUAAUUUCAGGCUUGCAGUGCAUGUGUGGAAGGGGCUAAUGGAUUAUCACAAAAUCAUAAACAGUACAUUUUCUACUUUAAAGCCA
ensembl:lncRNA